AUGAUUCCUUGUCAUCGCACAUUUUUAAAUACUGCAGUCAAGCAGAAGGACGAGGGGCUUCCACGAAACUCUUCCAGGCACUCACCACUGCUGUGGGAUGAGAGACUGCACUCAUGCAAGAGCUGGUCUCGGUGCUCAUUCUCCCCGGAAGUCCCUCUGCUGGGUGCCAUUCUUACAGACAUGCAAGGAAAAUUGUCACCUGGAUUUUUUUUUUUUUACCACAGCAGCCUUGUUCCCACCUGUCUCCAGAAGGUUCCACCUUUUCUCUCACUAUUCUCUCCUCUUGGACUUUGCCUGCCUUCCUCCACCCUCAGUGUCCUGCCUACUCCCAGUCUGGUUCAUGGGGUUUUGGCAGCUUUUUUUUUUUUUUUUUUUUUUUUUAGUUUUUUUCUUCCCAAUUGCAAAAUAUACUUGUGCUCUCCACAGAAAAUUUGGAAAAUUCUGAAAAAUAAAAGUCUUCCUAAUCACACAGUAGGUGAGAACCACUGCUUCCCUUGUACCUUUAUGUCCAUAUGUUUUUGGUAUUAAACAUAUAUGGGUUCCUGCAAGAUUUACUGCUUUUAAAACUUAAUGGUCCUUUGUGAAUAUUUUACUAGUUAUUCUUCUACAAUAGCAGUUCUUAAGCUUUCUGGAUACAGACCCCUUUAUCCUUUUGAAAAUAAUUGAGGACCCCAAAGAGCUUUUGUGUAUGUGAGUUAUAUCUAUCAAUGUAUGUCCUAUUAGAAAUUAAAACUGAGGGGCAGUUCCACUCCCACCCCGAGAUGGCUCCCUUGUCUGUCUGCUCGUUUUCUCUACUCAUUUUCUUUAGGAGGCGCUGAGAACUGAACCCAGGACCUCCCGUGUAUGAGUGGGCGCCCAACAGCUUGAGCCAUAUCUGCUCCCUGAGAGGAUAUUUUAAUACGUAUUAAUUUAUUAUUUU
rnacentral:lncRNA from 1 species